rnacentral:tRNA from 1 species
GCUGGCGUAGCUCAGUUGGUAGAGCACGUCCUUGGUAAGGACGGGGUCACCGGUUCAAAUCCGGUCGUCAGCU